rfam:Arabidopsis thaliana chromosome 1, complete sequence.
GGAUAUGAUGAAAUGGCAAUAAUGUUUUGUGACACCCAGUCUGAUCUUCGUGAUUGAUUUGCCAUAUUUUCUGAUCC